rnacentral:rRNA from 1 species
UGGAAGUAAAAGUCGUAACAAGGUUUCCGUAGGUGAACCUGCGGAAGGAUCAUUACCGAGUGCGGGCCCUCGUGGCCCAACCUCCCACCCUUGUCUCUAUACACCUGUUGCUUUGGCGGGCCCACCGGGGCCACCUGGUCGCCGGGGGACAUCUGUCCCCGGGCCCGCGCCCGCCGAAGCGCUCUGUGAACCCUGAUGAAGAUGGGCUGUCUGAGUACUAUGAAAAUUGUCAAAACUUUCAACAAUGGAUCUCUUGGUUCCGGCAUCGAUGAAGAACGCAGCGAAAUGCGAUAAGUAAUGUGAAUUGCAGAAUUCCGUGAAUCAUCGAAUCUUUGAACGCACAUUGCGCCCCCUGGCAUUCCGGGGGGCAUGCCUGUCCGAGCGUCAUUUCUGCCCUCAAGCACGGCUUGUGUGUUGGGUGCGGUCCCCCCGGGGACCUGCCCGAAAGGCAGCGGCGACGUCCGUCUGGUCCUCGAGCGUAUGGGGCUUUGUCACUCGCUCGGGAAGGACUGGCGGGGGUUGGUCACCACCAAAAUUUUACCACGGUUGACCUCGGAUCAGGUAGGAGUUACCCGCUGAACUUAAGCAUAUCAUAAGGCCGGAGAGAA